UCCAAGGAAAUGACUCACGGCGGUUGGCAGGGUUCUGGCGUGCCUGGCCCCAGCCCGCGCUCCAGCCCGCAGCAGAUGCCUGCCCGGCCCUCCCUCCCUCGCCGGCCAAACCCACUCGGAGCCCGCGGCUGCAGGAGCGCCCUGCGCAUCGGAUGGACCGGGGCGGCCAGGACGCGGCCCGAGCCUCCUGCAGCCUCCCGCCCAGUCCUCGCCACCCUCGGCCGCGGGGCCGCCUCUCCCCCGCCCCUGCGGUCCCGGCGGGCACUCGGGAAAGUUGCUAGGGCCGAGGAGGUGGGAGGGGAGGAAGGGGGGAGAGAGGCGGAGGCGUGGACCAUGCGGGCAGCAGCCUAGACCGCCGGGGAGCAAACGCGCGCUCCUGACAUCCAUCAUCCCUCCCUCCCCACCUGCCAAGCGCCGCGGCGUCCAGACCUGGGGGCAGCCCUCCUAUUGACCCCUCCUUCCCUAGAAUAAGGGAAUAAACGGCCACCGAGGACCCCGAGGUCUCACCAGCGCUGCGGUCUCCGCCCGCCUCUAGACUCGGCUCGGUGCGCGCGGGCGGCAGCCCGAGCAGCCCCAGAGGCGGCGGCGGUUCCCGCCCGGAAAGGCUCCGCGGCGCACGCCGGCCCCGGGAAAAGCCCGCGCCGCCUCCGCGCCCGGCUGUGCCUUGGCCCUGUCGCCGCCCCCAGUCCCGCUCCGGCCGGUGCGCGUCCACUCGGGGACCCCGGCGGAGCCCCGGGGCCAGGAGGGCGCGCAGGAGCCGGUCCGCGCCAGCAGCCGCCGGGGGGCACCGGCCGUCGCCCUCCACCCGGCCCGGCCUCUCCGUCCCCGCUGCCCGCGCCCAGCCCGGCUCUUACCGCGGGGUCAGCCGGGAGGCGGCGGCCGCGGCGCUCGAGCUGCUGCUGGCCCGCCUCGGGCUCGGCGCCAGCUCGGCCGCCGGUGCACAGUCGCGCGGGUCCCGGCCCGGCGGCCCGGUCAGCGGUGGCUGCUGGUGCGCGGCGGGCGAGGGUCCUGGCAGGUCCCGCCGCCGCGACUGGGGCGCAGCGCUGCGCCGCCGUCGCUGCAGACGGUUAUGGUAAUGAGCGGCUCUGUCUAGCGAGGAGCGUGUGAAACCCGUCAAUCCAGUUUGCCAUUUCCCCGUGGAUUUCCGAGGAGAGGUUCUGCAGGAUGCCCCCAGGCAAACGGAGAUGAGAAACAGAUGUCUUUGCAGGACCAGGCAGUUAUUCUCCCCUCGUCGCCCGCCCCCGCCUGUUCCCCUCCGGAGCUGUACGUGUAUAAAAAAGCAACCUUGGUCCGACUGCAACUUGAAUUGGCAACUCUUUCUGGGUGGGGAGCCUCCAGGGAAAACCUUCAGGAAAUAAAAAAUGAUCCUCCGACUGUGAAAAACCAAACCUCUUGCUGCCUGGCUCCCUAGGAAUCAAGAAGAGAAGCAGACUGAAAAUCAGGGAGGAGAGGAACAAGAUCAAGGAUGAGGAUUAGCAUCUGCAAAUUGAACCCUAUCUAAUUUGCAUGUUUAUUUCUUAGAAUUGUAAUUAAAUUUGAGUAAUAAAUGCUUUCCAUUUCA